rnacentral:rRNA from 1 species
AUUGAACGCUGGCGGCAGGCCUAACACAUGCAAGUCGAGCGGAAGAAGCGCGCUUGCUCCUGGCUUCAGUGGCGGACGGGUGAGUAAUGCCUAGGUAACUGCCUGGUAGCGGGGGAUAACGUCCGGAAACGGGCGCUAAUACCGCAUACGUCCUGAGGGAGAAAGUGGGGGAUUUUCGGACCUCCCGCUAUCAGAUGAGCCUAGGUCGGAUUAGCUAGUUGGUGGGGUAAAGGCCUACCAAGGCGACGAUCCGUAACUGGUCUGAGAGGAUGAUCAGUCACACGGGAAGGGAGACGCGGUCCAUGCGCCUGCGGGACGCAGCAGAGGGGAAUAGGGGACAGUGGGCGAGAGCAUUGUCCAACCAGGCCGAGUGUGUGGAGAAAGUCUUCGGAGUGUGAAGAACGUUAAGGUGGUGGAAAGGGCAGUAAGUUGAGACGAUGCUGUAGUGACGGUACCGAGUAAAUAAGCACCGGCUAACUACGUG